UACGGAGGGGGCUAGCGUUGUUCGGAAUUACUGGGCGUAAAGCGCACGUAGGCGGCUUUGUAAGUUAGAGGUGAAAGCCCAGGGCUUAACCCUGGAAUUGCCUUUAAGACUGCAUCGCUCGAAUUGUGGAGAGGUGAGUGGAAUUCCGAGUGUAGAGGUGAAAUUCGUAGAUAUUCGCAAGAACACCAGUGGCGAAGGCGGCUCACUGGCCCGAUACUGACGCUGAGGCACGAAAGCGUGGGGAGCAAACAGG
rnacentral:rRNA from 1 species